rnacentral:lncRNA from 1 species
CAAAUGUAAAUAAUUGUUUUCCAUUCAUUGAUUUGCAAGCACCAAUCUCAUACCGUCCACGCGUUGUCUCGUGUAUUGUCUUGCAUACAGCGGCCUUUUACAUCAUCUCCAUCACCACCAUGCCCGAUCUAGGAGACAUCAAGCCUAAAGGACCAAGCAAAUGCAAGCUGUGCUUUCUAAGAUGCUGCUUCUGCUGUGUUCCUAGACCAUCGGUUCCAGGAAAGAAAAAGAAAUGCGGUUGCUGCUGAUAGAAGUGAGAUGUACCAAUGUAAAUAAAGGGAGAGAGGCGUAUAUAAUAUCACAGCGGGAUUACACAUGAGCUAAUCUCUCACACCGGAACCAUCAUCGCAACAUAUGCAUGGCUUGGCAAACUCGUGAUUCACGCCAUGUCAUCAGCAUUCAUCCACCCUCGGACCUGGGGCGAUGUGCCUAGAUAUUGUAAACAGCAAAUUGCGAUGUUAUAAUGUAAUAGAAAGUUCAUGUAUUGGCCCUAUAUUGUAUUGUUGAUGCCUUAUGAAAUGAAUUAAAUUUAUUUUGGGCUUGGUCGAUUGUGUGAAAUUCUCUGGAUGCACUUCUAAAUCAAAUAGUGUCUUGUUAUCAAAGAAUCAUGAAGACAUACAUUAAUUCUGUUCGUUCAAAUUAUUCCCUUUUUUCUGAACUAUCAAGGUAAUAAAGUCUGCAAUUCCUAAAUAGUAGUCAAGAAAGGCGUCAGUGUACGAAGGGGGGGGGGGGGAUAACGAUAAACCAAUCGCGAUUGGAUUAUUUCAUUGUUAAGUUCUCAAUUAAGUCGAUUCUUUUACCCCCUUUUAUUCUCUACCAGGCUUGUAAAAUCAAAGGGGGCCCCUAUCCCCCAUAGCCUUUCCGCACAAUCUCGGAAACAGUGAGUGUAAGUGUUAUACCCAUGCAGGGAGGUAACAGUUUGCCAAAAUUAAUAAAUUAAUAAUUGUCUGUGAGGUUGUGAAUCCCAUCCAAGUUUUAGACAACCUAUUAUUCAUAAGUUUGUUAUAGUUAAUUUGUUUGGCAGCAACCGUUGUGAAUAGCAUGAUCUGUAAAGAUCACAAAGAGAGACGCUAAGAGGGGCACCGGUUCACUCUGGUCGUUCACUUAAUACAUCCGCUCGAUUAAUAGAAAACAUUGACGUUGUGUUAUGUAAAAACGAUAUAAUGUUCAUAACAAUCAACUCACAAUUGGAAUUGUAUAUCAUCGCAGAUUUUGUUUUGCUGAUGGCAAUCACAGAUGAACCUCCGCAUGCUCGCCUGAGGAAUUAGGCCUGCAAUAUAGUACUCGCACAUAAUAUUCGGGCAUAAUCAUAUUUGAUUUGUUGUUGAUUUUCUCACAUUGAUAGAAUACGCUGCAUUAAUGAAGAGUAAAGAGCGGUAUAAAUUCAUUUUUGCUUAGGGACUCUGAGUAGAUGCAUAUACAAAAUCACGUACACUUUACUCCCUUUAGUGUGAAAAAACUGAGCCCCCACCCACAUCUCUUAAAAUAGGAUUUCACAAGUCGUGCACCAUUCGGUGUCUAUAGAUCGUUUUCCUCAAUUAGCAGGCUCAUUCCAAUCAACAAUCUGACCUUGUUAGC